rnacentral:rRNA from 1 species
GUGAGGAAUAUUGGACAAUGGGUGAAAGCCUGAUCCAGCCAUCCCGCGUGAAGGAUGACGGUCCUAUGGAUUGUAAACUUCUUUUGUACAGGGAUAAACCUACUCUCGUGAGGGUAGCUGAAGGUACUGUACGAAUAAGCACCGGCUAACUCCGUGCCAGCAGCCGCGGUAAUACGGAGGGUGCAAGCGUUAUCCGGAUUUAUUGGGUUUAAAGGGUCCGUAGGCGGACCUGUAAGUCAGUGGUGAAAUCUCAUAGCUUAACUAUGAAACUGCCAUUGAUACUGCAGGUCUUGAGUAAAUUUGAAGUGGCUGGAAUAAGUAGUGUAGCGGUGAAAUGCAUAGAUAUUACUUAGAACACCAAUUGCGAAGGCAGGUCACUAAGAUUUAACUGACGCUGAUGGACGAAAGCGUGGGUAGCGAACAGGAUUAGAUACCCCGGUAGUCC